GACGUAGGGGGCCAGCGUUGUUCGGAAUUACUGGGUGUAAAGGGUUCGUAGGCGGUGUAGCAAGUCGGGAGUGAAAUCUCUGGGCUUAACCCAGAGGCUGCUUCCGAAACUGCUGUGCUUGAGUGUGGGAGAGGCGCGUGGAAUUGCAGGUGUAGCGGUGAAAUGCGUAGAUAUCGGAAGGAACAUCAGUGGCGAAAGCGACUUCCUGGACCAAUACUGACGCUCAUGUGCGAAAGCGUGGGGAGCAAACAGG
rnacentral:rRNA from 1 species